UCAUACACUGGUCGGUCAACAACCUUGAUUCAUAAAAAAAAUAGUGAGCUCUUUGAAAGAAAAAAAAAUGGUGGAUAACAACGACAACUUGCAAAUCAAGAUUCUCAUAAGCAUGGGUAGUGAAACUUUAUAUUAUGAGAAAGUUGGUUUAGGUUUCUACCUUUCCAUGACCUAAUCCGGUUGUUUAUUAUACAGAGUCAAACUUGCAUAAGUCGAAGUAGAUCAUCCGAAAGAUGUUUAAG
rnacentral:lncRNA from 1 species